GAUGAACGCUGGCGGCGUGCCUAAUACAUGCAAGUCGAGCGCACGGACGAGAAGCUUGCUUCUCUGAUGUUAGCGGCGGACGGGUGAGUAACACGUGGAUAACCUACCUAUAAGACUGGGAUAACUUCGGGAAACCGGAGCUAAUACCGGAUAAUAUUUUGAACCGCAUGGUUCAACAGUGAAAGACGGUCUUGCUGUCACUUAUAGAUGGAUCCGCGCUGCAUUAGCUAGUUGGUAAGGUAACGGCUUACCAAGGCAACGAUGCAUAGCCGACCUGAGAGGGUGAUCGGCCACACUGGAACUGAGACACGGUCCAGACUCCUACGGGAGGCAGCAGUAGGGAAUCUUCCGCAAUGGGCGAAAGCCUGACGGAGCAACGCCGCGUGAGUGAUGAAGGUCUUCGGAUCGUAAAACUCUGUUAUUAGGGAAGAACAUAUGUGUAAGUAACUGUGCACAUCUUGACGGUACCUAAUCAGAAAGCCACGGCUAACUACGUG
rnacentral:rRNA from 1 species